UACGUAGGGGGCAAGCGUUGUCCGGAUUUAUUGGGCGUAAAGAGCGUGUAGGCGGUUAGGUAGGUCCGUUGUGAAAACUCGAGGCUCAACCUCGAGACGCCGAUGGAAACCAUCUGACUAGAGUCCGGAAGAGGAGAGUGGAAUUCCUGGUGUAGCGGUGAAAUGCGCAGAUAUCAGGAGGAACACCAAUAGCGAAGGCAGCUCGCUGGGACGGUACUGACGCUAAGGCGCGAAAGCGUGGGGAGCGAACAGG
rnacentral:rRNA from 1 species